rnacentral:rRNA from 1 species
GACGAACCGUGCAAACGUUGUUCGGAAUCACUGGGCUUAAAGGGCGCGUAGGCGGGCGACCAAGUCAGGGGUGAAAUCUUUCGGCUCAACCGGAAAAGUGCCCCUGAUACUGGCCGCCUCGAGGGAGGUAGGGGCAUGUGGAACUCCAUGUGGAGCGGUGAAAUGCGUAGAUAUGUGGAGGAACGCCGGUGGCGAAAGCGACGUGCUGGACCUUUCCUGACGCUGAGGCGCGAAAGCUAGGGGAGCGAACGGG